AUUGAACGCUGGCGGCAGGCCUAACACAUGCAAGUCGAACGAGUGGCGGACGGGUGAGUAAUGUAUGGGAAAGUGCCCGAUGGCGGGGGAUAACUACUGGAAACGGUAGCUAAUACCGCAUACCAUCGGAUGUGCCCCUAUGGGAUUAGCUAGUAGGUGGGGUAACGGCGCACCUAGGCGACGAUCCCUAGCUGGUCUGAGAGGAGGACCAGCCACACUGGGACGGAGACACGGUCCAGACUCCUACGGGAGUCAGCAGUGGGGAAUAUUGCACAAUGGGCGCAAGCCUGAUGCAGCCAUGCCGCGUGUAUGAUGAAGGCCUUCGGGUUGUAAAGUACUUUCAGCGAGGAGGCGUUACUCGCAGAAGAAGCACCGGCUAACUCCGUGCCAGCCGCCGCGGUAAUUC
rnacentral:rRNA from 1 species